rnacentral:rRNA from 1 species
GCGACGCACUUGGAGGAUGUAUAGCUUAGCUAAUUAUAUAAGAUAAAAUAUAAUUUCGACUAUGUUUGAAUAAAAUUCUAGCUAGUGGAUGAUUAUGACAUUUACUAGCUAUAGGUCUUGACCAAAUCUCGUGCCAGCAGUCGCGGUAAGACGUGGAAGACAAGUGUUAUUCAUCUUUAAUAGGUUUAAAGGGUACCUAGACGGUAAAUCUAGCAGAAAAGUACGGAUUUACUAGAGUUUAAUAUGUAAGAAGGUAGAAUUUAUGGUGUAGUGAUGAAAUACGUUAAUACCAUAAAGACUAUUAAAUGCGAAAGUAACCUUAAAAAUAAAACACAUAGUAAAAACUUUAUCUAUUAUAACUAAUAACUAUAUACAAGUAAUAUUAGCAGUAAAGUAUAUACUAUUUGUUUCUCUAUGUAUAAACUGACGUUGAGGGACGAAGGCCUGGGUAGCGAUAAGGAUUAGAUACCCGAAUAGUCCAGGCAGAAAAUAAUGAAUGCCAUAAAUUAGAUUCUUUCUAGUUAUAAUGCUUAUAGAUAGAUUAAUUAAGAAAAUCUCACCCCUUUCCCCCCCUGCUUAGUUAAAUUGAAGGAUAAGUUCUUGUAAUUAGAUUCUUUCUAGUUAUAAUGCUUAUAGAUAGAUUAAUUAAGAAAAUCUCACCCUUUUCCCCCCCUGCUUAAUUAAAUUGAAGGAUAAGUUCUUGUAAUUAUAACUAGAGAGGAAUAUUAAUAUAUAAAUGAAAGUGCAAGCAUUCCACCUUAAGAGUAAUGCGGCAAGGCAGGAACUGAAAUCAUUAGACCGUUUCUGAAACCAGUAGUGAAGUAUGUUAUUUAAUUCGAUGACCCGCGAAAAACCUUACCACAAUUUGAAUAUGUUUACAAGUGCUGCACGGCUGUCUUCAGUUAAUAUCGUGAGAGCAAGGUUAACUCCGUUUAAUUAAUGUAAACCCUUACUUUAUUUUUUUAUAUAAAGUUAAAAGUCACUAUAGUGACUUACUAAGAGGGAUUAAGACAAGUCAUCAUGGCCUUAAUAUUGUGGGCUA